rfam:Citromicrobium sp. RCC1885 contig2, whole genome shotgun sequence.
GCCCGGGUAGCUCAGUGGUAGAGCAGACGACUGAAAAUCGUCGUGUCGGUGGUUCGACUCCGCCCCUGGGCA